GUGCUCGCUUCGGCAGCACAUAUACUAAAGUUGGAAGAUUAGCAUGGCCCCUGCGCAAGGAUGACGCGCAAAUUCGUGAAGCGUUCCAUAUUUUU
ensembl:snRNA U6 U6 spliceosomal RNA